GCGUCUCCAUCCAUCGCUCGCCUCGCCUCCGCGGCCUGGCCUCCUCUCUCGCUCGAUUCCUCUCCCAUUCGGCAUCCUCCCUCCUCCCGUUCCCCAAAAUCGAAAGCACUGAAAAUCCUAAAUCGUAGAUCGGCAGGUACAGGAGGGCCGCCGGCCGCGAGGCGCGAGCUCCGGCAGCGGGGGCGGCGGCGCGGCCUGUGCCCUCCCGGCCUCUUGCCGGCCGCCGCUCGGCGCUCGGUGCUGCGCGGGGCCCGCUUGGCGCUGCCCGGCGGCCGCGCUGCGCAACAGCGCAAGGCGCUUAGGCGCAGGCCGCAACCGCAAGGGGCAAGGGGACAGCUGGACAGGCAUUCUGGCAACCAGAACCAGUAGAGCCAGGUGCCAGGUGAGCUGCUGCAAGGGCGACGACCUCACAAGUCACAUUCACAACGAGUGAACCAGAGGAUAGAGGUGAGAACUUUGCAAUUAGACCGAGUAGCAGAGCUUUGCAAUUAGAAAUUUUGUAGCAAUUUUUUCACAAUUGAUAUACUUUAUGUUGUUAAUUAGUGUUUAUAUCUUUAACUGUAGAUCAUAGAGCUUUGCACCUUUAUUAGAGUUGAACAGCUUUGACUGCUUUGUACCUUUAUUUUUUCGAUUAUGUAUAUUGACAUAUUGUGAACUUUUUAAUGUUCAUCUGGACCUUUUUAUUUGCUAGAUGGGAAUACCCAACUCUAGAAUCCUACUCCGCCACUGAUAAUAAACACCAUGUUGAAUGCAAACGGCCUGCCUUUGCCUCCGACCCACCAUGGCGUUGGUACCGCAAAAACAGGACAACAUAGGAAUUGAUGCUGACAGAAAAAUUUACUGUUGAUGGAAGGGGGGGAAUGCAGCUUGGCAGGGAACUGAAAAAUAUAGAAAUAGGCUUCAAUGAGUGUUUCCACCUAGAAAUGAUUGUACAAACAAAACCCACUGAAGUAGUUCAAAAGUAAAGAUUCCCCGCCAAGUACAUAUCAAACAUAUUUUUAAUGUAAUGGACAAAUCACAUGAAAUUUUAAAGUAUUCUCAAAACUGUCAAUUAUGAUGAACUCCAACAAAAAUAUAUGAAAAUUGAAUGUAGUGGGCCAAUCAGGUUUCGCCGGCGCUACUAUCACAAGUCCGGUGUCGCCCCCAAGGCAGUCGGUCCCUCAGCCUUCCUGAGCGAGCAUUAUCGGUGUGAUUGCUGGGCUAAGAGAGCCUUGGCAUGUGUUGUGCCUGUUUUCCACAAUGUGCUCCCGCCCGUGUUGGCCAAAGCCCAUCUGAUCUGCUUCGAGACGGGGGAUCCACUCAGG
rnacentral:lncRNA from 1 species